rnacentral:pre_miRNA from 1 species
GUGCUCGGUUUGUAGGCAGUGUAGUUAGCUGAUUGUAUUCUACUGCCUGCAAUCACUAACUCCACUGCCAUCAAAACAAGGCAC